AUACGGAGGAUCCGAGCGUUAUCCGGAUUUAUUGGGUUUAAAGGGUGCGCAGGCGGCCAUUUAAGUCAGCGGUUAAAUCGUGGGGCUCAACCCCAUUCUGCCGUUGAUACUGGGUGGCUUGAUUGCGGUCGAGGUUGGCGGAAUUCGUUGUGUAGCGGUGAAAUGCAUAGAUAUGACGAAGAACACCGAUUGCGUAGGCAGCUGACCAGACCGCAAAUGACGCUCAUGCACGAAAGUGCGGGGAUCGAACAGGAUUAGAUACCCUGGUAGUCCGCACAGUAAACGAUGAAUACUUGUUUUCGGCGAUAUAAUGUCGGAGGCAAAGCGAAAGCGAUAAGUAUUCCACCUGGGGAGUACGCCGGCAACGGCGAAACUUAAAGGAAUUGACGGGG
rnacentral:rRNA from 1 species